rnacentral:rRNA from 1 species
AACGAACGCUGGCGGCAUGCCUAACACAUGCAAGUCGAACGAGACCUUCGGGACUAGUGGCGCACGGGUGCGUAACGCGUGGGAACCUGCCCUUAGGUUCGGAAUAACUCCCCGAAAGGGGUGCUAAUACCGGAAAAUGUCUUCGGACCAAAUAUUUAUCGCCUUUGGAUGGGCCCGCGUUGGAUUAGCUAGUUGGUAGGGUAAAAGCCUACCACGGCGACGCUCCAUAGCUGGUCUGGGAGGAUGGUCAGCCACACUGGGACUGGGACACGGCCCAGACUCCUACGGGAGGCAGCAGUGGGGAAUAUUGGACAAUGGGCGAAAGCCUGAUCCAGCAAUGCCGCGUGAGUGAUGAAGGCCUUAGGGUUGUAAAGCUCUUUUACCCGGGAUGAUAAUGACAGUACCGGGAGAAUAAGCUCCGGCUAACUCCGUG